UACUAUAGCUUGACACUGAACAUUGAGCCUUGAUGUGUAGGAUAGGUGGGAGGCUUUGAAGUGUGGACGCCAGUCUGCAUGGAGCCGACCUUGAAAUACCACCCUUUAAUGUUUGAUGUUCUAACGUUGACCCGUAAUCCGGGUUGCGGACAGUGUCUGGUGGGUAGUUUGACUGGGGCGGUCUCCUCCUAAAGAGUAACGGAGGAGCACGAAGGUUGGCUAAUCCUGGUCGGACAUCAGGAGGUUAGUGCAAUG
rnacentral:rRNA from 1 species